rnacentral:rRNA from 1 species
AACGCGAAGAACCUUACCUAGGCUUGACAUGGGGGUGAAAUUUCAUAGAAAUAUGGAACCUUCCGCAAGGAACACCCUACACAGGUGCUGCAUGGUUGUCGUCAGCUCGUGUCGUGAGAUGUUAGGUUAAGUCCUGCAACGAGCGCAACCCUCGCCCUUAGUUGCCAUCAGGUAAAGCUGGGAACUCUAAGGGGACCGCCUGGUUUAACCAGGAGGAAGGUGGGGAUGACGUCAAAUCCUCAUGGCCCUUACGCCUAGGGCUAGACACGUGCUACAAUGGUAGAUACAGCGGGAUGCAAGCUGGUGACAGCAAGCCAAUCCCUUAAAAUCUAUCUCAGUCCGGAUUGAAGUCUGCAAUUCGACUUCAUGAAGCUGGAAUCGCUAGUAAUCGCGGAUCAGCAUGCCGCGGUGAAUACGUUCCCGGGUCUUGUACACACGC